GAUGAACGCUAGCGGCAGGCCUAACACAUGCAAGUCAGGGGUAACAUGAAAAGCUUGCUUUUCUGAUGACGACCGGCGCACGGGUGCGUAACGCGUAUACAACCUACCUUUUAGCGGGGAAUAGCCCAGGGAAACUUGGAUUAAUGCCCCAUAGUAUAUAGACUUCUCCUGAAGUUUAUAUUAAACAUUUAUGGCUAUUAGAUGGGUAUGCGUCCUAUUAGUUAGUUGGUAAGGUAACGGCUUACCAAGGCAGCGAUAGGUAGGGGUCCUGAGAGGGAGAUCCCCACACUGGUACUGAGACACGGACCAGACUCCUACGGGAGGCAGCAGUGAGGAAUAUUGGACAAUGGGCGAGGGCCUGAUCCAGCCAUGCCGCGUGCAGGAAGACUGCCCUAUGGGUUGUAAACUGCUUUUACAGAGGAAGAACCACCCCCACGUGUGGGGGUUUGACGGUACUCUGCGAAUAAGGAUCGGCUAACUCCGUG
rnacentral:rRNA from 1 species